AGACCUGUGGCGCAGUGGCUAGCGCGCCGUUCUUAUAAGGCUCGUCAGAUCCUUAUGACUACUCAUCUUGUUAUGCGGAUGUCGUGGGUUCGAAUCCCACCAGGUAAG
rnacentral:tRNA from 1 species